ACGGAAGGCAGCAGUGGGGAGUAUUGGACAAUGGGGGAAACCCUGAUCCAGCAACGCCGCGUGAGUGAAGAAGUGGUUCGCCAUGUAAAGCUCUAUCAAUAGGGAAUAUAAUGAAGGUACCUAACUAAGAAGCCCCGGCUAACUACGUGCCAGCAGCCGCGGUAAUACGUAGGGGGCAAGCGUUAUCCGGAUUUACUGGGUGUAAAGGGAGCGUAGACGGAAUGGCAAGUUUGAAGUGAAAUACCUGGGCUUAACCCGGGAAUUGCUUUGAAAACUGUUAAUCUAGAGUACUGGAGAGGUAUGGGGAAUUCCUAGUGUAGUAGUGAAAUGCGUAGAUAUUAGGAGGAACACCGGAGGCGAAGGCGCCAUACUGGACAGAAACUGACGUUGAGGCUCGAAAGCGUGGGGAGCAAACAGGAUUAGAUACCCUGGUA
rnacentral:rRNA from 1 species